UUAUUUUGUACAUAUCAAUUGAAGGAUAACGAUGAUAUCAAAUAUUAGUGGGAAAUGGUUAAACUUGAUUUAGAUGUGGAAUCUAUGUUGAUGGAUGUUGCAUAGGGUGGUAAUGAAAUUGUUUUGAUUGUUGUAGCAUGUUAAGUCAUUUAAGUAGUGUUAUGGUUUUAAUAUGUAGUUUGUGUCGUUUCGUUGUUGUGAUUUUAAGGUAUUAUUUGUUAUUUGCAAAUGAUUUAACAAAACGAAAAUUUAAUUUAA
rnacentral:lncRNA from 1 species